rnacentral:lncRNA from 1 species
UGGAAAUUUCCUAAAGAUCCCACAUGUGUGGCCAUGACUACGACCAAGAAUCAGUGACAAUAUGCAUAUUAAGCAUCUGCAGCAGCCAGCAGAAGGCAUAAUAAAGUAGAACAAAGUAUAUCAUAGAAAAGAAAGAUAAAGGGCAUAAAUAUCUCAUAAAUAUGAUUUCUUCUUUCAAACUCCAAGAAGCUAUUACUCCGUUUUAUACAUGUAACUAAGAAAAUAGUAGUAAAAAUGAAUAUUGGUUGUCAACUUUUCUCAAGAACAUCUCCUCAAAUCUAAAUGCUAGUAGAAGGAUCCUUCCUCGACAACACAAGUUCUAUCAUAAGUGUGUCCAUCUCUGUGACUAUGUCAACAUGCCCUUCAUGCCAAAAUAAAUCCCACAAUGUCAUUGAUUUCAAAGGUAGUCCCUGAUAGAUGGGAACGACAAAAGCUUACGAUUAUGGAUAAAUGUCAAAUUUGGUGCUUGCAAAGAUUAUCUGAAUUAUUCUUUUGACUGUUGAGUUAGUGAACAUCAUGUUAAGAGGUAUAGGUCUGAUUGAUACCAAGAACGUGAUGCUAAAAUUAGUUGUAGAUAAAUCAAUAGAUAUCAUGCUUACCGAGGGACUAAAGAUUUUAGGUGGCUUCAAGAACCUAACUAACCCUAUUAAGUUGCAUAUGCAUGUAGUAGUUCUUAGCAGCUGCACUGGGGCUGGUCAAAGGGACUGGUCGAAUAGCACGACCCUAUGAAGAACUUUCUGGGAUAUCCAUUUUGUGCAGUCUUACGAAUAGAGGGCCUCAAUAAAAAUAUUUAUUAGAAACCUGUAGUCAACUAAUGGAAUAAUGGUCGCUUCAUUUUGUUACGCGUGCCAAUCAAACUUCACAUUGUUGUAACAAACUGACUUAUACAAUCGAUCUAGCUAAUAAUGUGCAGAUAUAUUAAGUAUGGGGAAAAAUGCUAACACACAACAGGUGUGUCUCAUGACAGAAACAUCCACCCAUCUCUGAACAUGCUUAAGGAAGGCAAGACAAACAUAUUCAACAGGCCAACUGCAUGAUAUAGUGAAGAAGCAACAAAGUAGAGGAAGUGCGAGAAUGGAGAGAUGAGGAACAUGGUACGUGUUGCAGCGGAACCAUGUUACAAUUUUUUACAUAGAAACUUUGUGUGCAAAUGUCCUAUUUGCUAAGAAGGAAGUGGGCUUAACUACCAUGUUAUAAGAGACAUCUGAUUGGAAAAUCUCAUGGUUAGUAAUACAGAUUCAUGACUGAGUGUGGUGAGAACCAUGAUUCACAUAUUGGUUGACAAAACACAACAAAUUUACAAACAAACUGCUAAUAAUCUGAAACUAACCAAAGGAUUUUGGUCCAAAAAGGAAAUUGUAGUGAAACGAACCUAUGAAUAAUCAAUACACAUACUUGGAGUUUUACCAAACCUAUCAACUUGUUGAUGGGAUUACGCGGAAGUUCUGGCGAAUUUAGUAUAAACCUGCAUAGUUACAUGGAAGAAGAAGAAUAAGCCACCCCGUCCAUUAUUUAAUUAAUGGGAUUCAUGGACACGCCGUGAGGUGAUCUGGAUCAGUAGUUCAGUACUACUAUGAACAACAAAAGGUUUGACUAAUUUAGUAGGGGAGGCGGGGGAGGGGAUUGGAAAGGGUCACAUCAGGCGCGAUGGUGAUUGCCGCA